GCUGAAGUUGAAUUUUUUAAGAAGAUGUAAACAAAAAAGAGUAGCGUUUUCAUAACAUCAGAAAGUCGCCUACUUUUUAGAAAUAUACAGAGUGUUUGGAAGACUAGAAAAUCCUAGUAUGUUUCAAAAUGGGCAUGAUGCUGUGCUUCUAGCUAUCCAAUCUUUCAUGUUAUUGAAAUGGUCAAGUCCAUAGUCUAGUCUUCCAUGAGGUACUGUUCAGUUGUUCAACAGUCUCUUUGCCAUCUCAAAUCACACUGGGUCAAGUACAAAACAAAGAGCCAACUUGACCACUUCAGCUUCGGAAAUCUUAUUUCUUAGCAAAGAUACACUUUUCAAUGGAAGAAUAUGGUGGAGUUUCCCAACUUUUAGUGUGUUAAUAUUUCUUUUGUCCCAUGUUCUUAGUCAUAUAACGUCUCUGAACUUGUUGCAGCUUGUCGUGGAUAAAGAGGAGAAGAUGCACUCCGACUCUUGUCCUCUCCUCCCUGAGUAGAGUAAUAAUAUUGUAGCUAAUCCUACCAAGAAACCAAGAGAAAAGGAAGCACAUGUCGAAUGUCUUAAAGAGAAGAAACUUUUCAAGGAUACAGCUGCAAAGCUUAAAGCAGAUCAUGAAAAGGCCUUUGGGAAUGAUAAUGGUGAAUUUGGAGAUAAGAGUCACAUAGUCACGGCGCAGGAGAUGGAGGCCAUAAUUCUUACCCGUUCUCAAGUCAUCUAUUUGUCUUACCAUUGAGUCCUUCCAUUUACAUAUUAUCAUGGUUUAUGUUAUUAAAUUUUGGCAACAUGUAAAACACAAUUCAUCACAGUGCCCCUCUCGUGUAUGUAUGAUCUCUUCAAUCAGCAAGUGUAUGAUACUUCCUA